rnacentral:rRNA from 1 species
GACGUAGGGCGCGAGCGUUGUCCGGAUUUAUUGGGCGUAAAGAGCUCGUAGGCGGCUUGUCGCGUCGACUGUGAAAACCCACGGCUUAACUGUGGGCUUGCAGUCGAUACGGGCAGGCUAGAGUUCGGUAGGGGAGACUGGAAUUCCUGGUAUAGCGGUGAAAUGCGCAGAUAUCAGGAGGAACACCAGUGGCGAAGGCGGCACUCUGGGCCGGUACUGACGCUGAGGAGCGAAAGCGUGGGGAGCGAACAGG